GACGAACGCUGGCGGCGUGCUUAACACAUGCAAGUCGAGCGGUAAGGCCCUUCGGGGUACACGAGCGGCGAACGGGUGAGUAACACGUGAGCAAUCUGCCCUUCACUCUGGGAUAACCCCCGGAAACGGGAGCUAAUACCGGAUACGACCACUUCGGACAUCCGAUGGUGGUGGAAAGUUCCGGCGGUGAAGGAUGAGCUCGCGGCCUAUCAGCUUGUUGGUGGGGUAACGGCCCACCAAGGCUUCGACGGGUAGCCGGCCUGAGAGGGUGACCGGCCACACUGGGACUGAGACACGGCCCAGACUCCUACGGGAGGCAGCAGUGGGGAAUAUUGGACAAUGGACGAAAGCCUGAUCCAGCAACGCCGCGUGAGGGAUGACGGCCUUCGGGUUGUAAACCUCUUUCAGCGCAGACGAAGCGAAAGUGACGGUAUGCGCAGAAGAAGCACCGGCCAACUACGUGCCAGCCGCCGCCGUAA
rnacentral:rRNA from 1 species